rnacentral:rRNA from 1 species
CCAAGUUGUUAGACACCGGCGUAAAGAGUGGUUAGGUACUAUUACUUACUAAAGCCGAACACCUUCAAAGCUGUUAUACGCACCUGAAGAUAGGAAGUUCAACCACGAAAGUGGCUUUAUACUUACUGAACCCACGAAAGCUAAGACACAAACUGGGAUUAGAUACCCCACUAUGCCUAGCCUUAAACAUUGAUGACAUCCUACAACUGUCAUCCGCCCGGGUACUACGAGCAUCAGCUUAAAACCCAAAGGACUUGGCGGUGCUUUAGACCCACCUAGAGGAGCCUGUUCUAGAACCGAUAACCCCCGUUCAACCUCACCCUUCCUUGUUUUCCCCGCCUAUAUACCACCGUCGUCAGCUUACCCUGUGAAGGUUAAAACAGUAAGCAAAAUUGGCAUAGCCCAAAACGUCAGGUCGAGGUGUAGCGUAUGGAAGGGGAAGAAAUGGGCUACAUUCCCUAAUUCAGCGCAUACGGACGACACACUGAAAUACGUAUCCGAAGGAGGAUUUAGCAGUAAGCAGAAAAUAGAGUGUUCCGCUGAAACCGGCCCUGAAGCGCGCACACACCGCCCGUCACUCUCCCCGAGCUUACAUAUACAAGUAAAUAAAACCCUACAAU